ACGGCCACAUCUCGUUGAAAUAUUGGUUCCCGUACGAUCCCCGAAGAUAAGCAACGACGAGCCUAGUGAGUACCUCGAUGGGUAACCGUUUACGAAUAGCAGAUACUGUAA